GAAAGGGUAUCAAGAACUGCUAACUCACUCUACUGGCACCAACCUGUCAGACCUUUCC
rnacentral:tRNA from 1 species